UGUUAAGUUGUCCCACGUCGCCUCCGUGCUGUCUUCCGUGGUCAUGAUCAUCUGACGUGUCUGUCUGUUUGUCGAGGGAAUGGCUUCUGUCCACGGCGGUGUUUAGUCAUACUUAGGCGGAGGGGCGCGCGCACAAAUUGAUGACUGCUGAGACCCGGUCUACCUGCAGAGGUGGCGGUGGGAGUUCAUCAUCAGGCACGCGUGAAAAUCGGAACUCGAAGAUUACAGAAGCAUGUCAGCUGGGAGGUGGGGAGGGAUGAGUGAUCCUGAUGACGUUCGGAUUUUGGAUUGGAAAACAGACCUAAAUUAAGUUCAACCUUAACCUUAAAAGAGAGAUGUUAGAAGCCGGAUGUGAUGGCUCAACAGCAGAAGCAGAGACAGGCUGGUUUGCAGAGCGAGUUGCAGGACAGCCAGGGCUGCAUUGAGAAACCCUGGGGGAGUGGGUGGGAGUAUGUGAAUUUGAGCCCAGCCAGUGCAGCAUAGAAUAUGUCUGGGUUUUUUUGUUUUUUGUUUUUAAAAGUGAGGGGAGCCUAGCCAUGGGUUUGCCCUCCUAGUGGAGGAGGGAAUGUGGCCAAAGGAGGUAGCAGCACACCAUUCUUGGGCUUGGAAGUUAGGAAGCAGUAUUUCAACAAUCCAAAGACAGCUUAAUUCCCAUGUAAGAAAGGACGGGAAAUACCAGCAAAUUGAAGUGUGGAGCCUGAUAAGCAAAAAGAGCACCUCUGGAAGCAGCUGUGGCAGCCGUAAUUCUACAGAUGUAUCCAAUGACCUCGAGGAACUCUGGACGAAACUAAGCAUAUUUUUAUAAGAAAGUACAAGAAAAAAAUUAUCCUGAGAAUCUAAAGUCUGGACAAAAAAUAGUGAACGGCAGAAAACAUCCACUUGGAAUUUCAUUUUCUUCCCUAAUAGUUUAACAAUCUGAC
rnacentral:lncRNA from 1 species